GACGAACGCUGGCGGCGUGCCUAAUACAUGCAAGUUGAACGCUAAAGCUUUAACUGGUGCUUGCACCGACUUAAGUUUUUAGAGUAGCGGACGGGUGAGUAACACGUGGGUAACCUGCCCAUCAGAGGGGGAUAACACUUGGAAACAGGUGCUAAUACCGCAUAACAAUAUCAAUCGCAUGAUAGAUAUUUGAAAGGCGCUUAUGGUGUCACUGAUAGAUGGACCCGCGGUGCAUUAGCUAGUCGGUGGGGUAACGGCCUACCGAGGCGAUGAUGCAUAGCCGACCUGAGAGGGUGAUCGGCCACAUUGGGACUGAGACACGGCCCAAACUCCUACGGGAGGCAGCAGUAGGGAAUCUUCGGCAAUGGACGCAAGUCUGACCGAGCAACGCCGCGUGAGUGAAGAAGGUUUUCGGAUCGUAAAGCUCUGUUGUUAGAGAAGAACAAGUAAGAUAGUAACUGAUCUUGCCUUGACGGUAUCUAACCAGAAAGCCACGGCUAACUACGUGCCAGCAGCCGCC
rnacentral:rRNA from 1 species